rnacentral:ncRNA from 1 species
UCGGCAAAACAACCGAAAGGUUGUGACGCAAAGCCAAAGGGACUUCGGGUAACACCAUGUCAGCCGGUUGC